CAUUUGCAGAAUAUAACACUUUCAAGUUCCCCGGCCCCACUUCUACAGCAUCACUUUGACUUCCAUCAGUUUUGUAGAACGUCUGCGGUAUUGAAGCAGCAACUGCAUGUGUAAUGUAUACAAGAAGAGAUUUAAUUUGUCAAGCCUCUGAACAAUGGGAGACAAUUACAAUCAUCUAUUGCAUGUAAAUUUUGUGAUAUGCCAAUCAGAUGCUGAAGAAUUGGAAGCUAUUAAGACACCAGCUUGCAUUUUAACUUUCAUGAUACACCAAUCAGAUGUCUAACCUGCUCGUUUACCACUUGUUACAACAUAGGAGUUAAAGCCCAAAGGUGGAACAGUAGCAGUAAACGCAAGCCAAUAUUUGGGGCUUG
rnacentral:lncRNA from 1 species